rnacentral:hammerhead_ribozyme from 1 species
GUCCAGCUGACGAGUCCCACAUAGGACGAAACGCGCAUCUUGGAU